rnacentral:tRNA from 1 species
GACCUCGUAGCUCAGCUGGUAGAGCGUACGCUUUAAAAAAGCUUAGGUGGCGUCUAUGCGUGGGUUCGAAUCCCACGGAGGCUU